CCCCUCUCAGGGUCACACCUGGAGAGUUUCCAGUACUUUAGCAGUUACGACUAUGGGAGGGAGAGUCAAGCAGAGGUAUAUCCAUUCCACUCCUAGCAUGGGCAGUGGUUAGCGAGUGGAAGGCAAUCUGCUACAAGU